AAAAACUCCGGUGGUAUGGGAUGGACCCGCGUCUGAUUAGCCAGUUGGCAGGGUAACGGCCUACCAAAGCGACGAUCAGUAGCCGGCCUGAGAGGGUGGACGGCCACAUUGGGACUGAGACACGGCCCAAACUCCUACGGGAGGCAGCAGUGGGGAAUAUUGCACAAUGGGGGAAACCCUGAUGCAGCGACGCCGCGUGAGUGAAGAAGUAUUUCGGUAUGUAAAGCUCUAUCAGCAGGAACGAGACAAGACGGUACCUGACUAAGAAGCCCCGGCUAACUACGUGCCAGCAGCCGCGGUAAUACGUAGGGGGCAAGCGUUAUCCGGAAUCACUGGGUGUAAAGGGAGCGUAGACGGCUGUGCAAGCCUGAAGUGAAAGGCGGGGGCCCAACCCCUGGACUGCUUUGGGAACUGUACGGCUGGAGUGCAGGAGAGGUAAGUGGAAUUCCUAGUGUAGCGGUGAAAUGCGUAGAUAUUAGGAGGAACACCAGUGGCGAAGGCGGCUUACUGGACUGUAACUGACGUUGAGGCUCGAAAGCGUGGGGAGCAAACAGAAUUAGAUACCCUGGUAGUCCACGCCGUAAACGA
rnacentral:rRNA from 1 species